GGAUAACCUACCCUUAGGACUGGGAUAACCCUGGGAAACUGGGGAUAAUACUAGAUAGGCAAUUUUUCCUGGAAUGGUUUUUUGUUUAAAUGUUUUUUCGCCUAAGGAUGGGUCUGCGGCCGAUUAGGUAGUUGGUUAGGUAACGGCUUACCAAGCCAUUGAUCGGUACGGGUUGUGAGAGCAAGAGCCCGGAGAUGGAACCUGAGACAAGGUUCCAGGCCCUACGGGGUGCAGCAGGCGCGAAACCUCCGCAAUGUGAGAAAUCGCGACGGGGGGAUCCCAAGUGCCAUUCUUAACGGGAUGGCUUUUCAUUAGUGUAAAGAGCUUUUGGAAUAAGGGCUGGGCAAGACCGGUGCCAGCCGCCGCGGUAACACCGGCAGCUCUAGUGGUAGCAGUUUUUAUUGGGCCUAAAGCGUCCGUAGCCGGUUUAAUAAGUCUCUGGUGAAAUCCUGUAGCUUAACUGUGGGAAUUGCUGGAGAUACUAUUAGACUUGAGACCGGGAGAGGUUAGAGGUACUCCCAGGGUAGAGGUGAAAUUCUGUAAUCCUGGGAGGACCGCCUGUUGCGAAGGCGUCUAACUGGAACGGUUCUGACGGUGAGGGACGAAAGUUAGGGGCGCGAACCGGAUUAGAUACCCGGGUAGUCCUAACUGUAAACGAUGCGGACUUGGUGUUGGGGUGGCUUUGAGCUGCUCCAGUGCCGAAAGGGAAGCUGUUAAGUCCGCCGCCUGG
rnacentral:rRNA from 1 species